UGGGGAAUAUUGGACAAUGGGGGGAACCCUGAUCCAGCCAUGCCGCGUGUGUGAAGAAGGCCUUAUGGUUGUAAAGCACUUUAAGCGAGGAGGAGGGUACUGGUAUUAAUACUACCAGGUACUGGACGUUACUCGCAGAAUAAGCACCGGCUAACUCUGUGCCAGCAGCCGCGGUAAUACAGAGGGUGCAAGCGUUAAUCGGAAUUACUGGGCGUAAAGCGCGCGUAGGUGGUUCGUUAAGUUGAAUGUGAAAGCCCCGGGCUCAACCUGGGAACUGCAUCCAAAACUGGCGAGCUAGAGUAGGGCAGAGGGUGGUGGAAUUUCCUGUGUAGCGGUGAAAUGCGUAGGUAUAGGAAGGAACACCAGUGGCGAAGGCGACCACCUGGGCUCAUACUGACACUGAGGUGCGAAAGCGUGGGGAGCAAACAGG
rnacentral:rRNA from 1 species